rnacentral:lncRNA from 1 species
UGAAUGUGCAGUUCCUUGAUUGACCUGUCCUGAUGCAGUGCCUGACUGUAGUUCUGCAGCUCCACUGAAGAAGAGGCACUGAGGACUAGAGGCAGCCAGGGGAUUGCAACUCAAAGAGGUUUUCUAGAACCAGUUACUUCCAAAUUAUGUUCAAUUAGGCAACAGAACUAAAGAAUAUGCCUCUGAUCUACUUAUUUCUCAGCCUGAAUGCUGACUUCAUAGACUUUCAAAACAAAGUAAUAGGUGAGGAGCAAAGGAAGUAGUUCUGCUGACGGUUCAGGACCUGCUGUGUGGGUAGGGUGGUUCACUAGUCAUCCUGAAAGGUAAGCUCUGACAUGGAGACAUUCAAGCAUGAGCAGACUUAGUCCUCUGGAACAACAGUUUCUAACUUUUUUGGCACCAGGGACUGGUUUUGUGGAAGACGAUAUUUUUCCACAGACCAAAAGACGGGGAGAUGGUUUGGGGAGGAUUCAAGAACAUAACGCUUAUUGUGUACUAUCAUCUAUUGCUAUUAUUAUUACAUUAUAAUAUAUAAUGAAAUAAUUAUACAACUCACGAUAAUGUAGAAUCAGUGGGAGCCCUGAGCUCAUUUUCCUGCAACUAGAUGGUCCCAUCUGGAGGUGAUGGGAGACAGUGACAGAGCAUCAGGUGUUAGAUUCUCA